rnacentral:rRNA from 1 species
GAUGAACGCUAGCGGCAGGCCUAAUACAUGCAAGUCGAACGGUGUCUUCGGACAUAGUGGCGCACGGGUGCGUAACACGUAUGCAACCUACCUUACAUUGGGGGAUAGCCUUUCGAAAGGGAGAUUAAUACCGCAUAAGACAGUAGCUGGGCAUCCAGCAGCUGUUAAAGAUUUAUCGAUGUAAGCUGGGCAUGCGUCCAAUUAGCUAGUUGGUGAGGUAACGGCUCACCAAGGCAAUGAUUGGUAGGGGAACUGAGAGGUGAAUCCCCCACACUGGCACUGAGAUACGGGCCAGACUCCUACGGGAGGCAGCAGUAGGGAAUAUUGGGCAAUGGACGCAAGUCUGACCCAGCCAUGCCGCGUGCAGGAUGAAGGCGCUAUGCGUUGUAAACUGCUUUUAUACAGGAAGAAACGACUCUUGCGAGAGGCAUUGACGGUACUGUAUGAAUAAGCACCGGCUAACUCCGUGCCAGCCGCCGCGGUAACAC